rnacentral:rRNA from 1 species
GAUGAACGCUAGCGGCAGGCUUAAUACAUGCAAGUCGAGGGGCAGCGCGGGUAGCAAUACCUGGCGGCGACCGGCAAACGGGUGCGGAACACGUACGCAACCUUCCCAUAACUGGUGAAUAGCCCUCCGAAAGGAGGAUUAAUACACCGUAACAUAACGAAGAGGCAUCUUUUUGUUAUUAUAGUUGCAAUACGGUUUUGGAUGGGCGUGCGCCUGAGUAGGUAGCUGGCGGGGUAACGGCCCACCAAGCCUGCGAUCAGUAACUGGUGUGAGAGCACGACCAGUCACACGGGCACUGAGACACGGGCCCGACUCCUACGGGAGGCAGCAGUAAGGAAUAUUGGUCAAUGGACGAAAGUCUGAACCAGCCAUGCCGCGUGAAGGAUUAAGGCCCUCUGGGUUGUAAACUUCUUUUAUCUGGGACGAAAAAAGGGCAUUCUUGCUCACUUGACGGUACCAGAGGAAUAAGCACCGGCUAACUCCGUGCCAGCAGCCGCCGUAA